AAAAUACCUAAGACAGCUGUUUUUAACCACCAUCAAUGACUUCCCAGUUCUUCAAACGGUGGACUUCCCAGAGGAUUAAGAUUCCUGCCUCCCUGCAUUUGACUUCCAGACAUUGCUCCCCCUCUUGUCGGAAGAUCUUCUUCUUCAGAAAACUUCAGGAAUCUGUUUUCUGCCCACUGCACACAUUUCACACGAGCAGCAAAAGCGCGGAGCAAGGUGCAGCUGUCUCAAUAGACUAGGUUUUCUUCCCCUUGUAUAGUUCGGUGAGUACACCAAGAUGGCCUCCACGCUGGCGUAUUCCACCUCGCCAUCUUGGAGAUGCUACGGGUUACGAAGUCUGAUGGCGGCUGGCAGGAACAUCUCAGCCAAUGAGACAAGGAGGUUAAUGGGAAGAAAUGAAAGAAAAGCACAUGAAGAAAACAAAAUGGGCCAAUCAUACAGACUGAAGACCCAGAGCACAGGAGGGAUGCAAACCCUCAACCUUGUGCAUUUCUUGAAAUAUGAAGCAGAUAAACUUCCCACCACACAGUGGCAGAUGCCAAACCGUUUGAUGUGUAAUAGAUUCCAUGUCCACCUCAAAUCGCAAAUCAAUGCUUUCAGAAGAUUAAAGAUCCCAUGCACCC